rnacentral:rRNA from 1 species
UACGGGGGGGGCAAGCGUUGUUCGGAAUUACUGGGCGUAAAGGGCGCGUAGGUGGCCAACUAAGUCAGACGUGAAAUCCCUCGGCUUAACCGGGGAACUGCGUCUGAUACUGGAUGGCUUGAGUUUGGGAGAGGGACGCGGAAUUCCAGGUGUAGCGGUGAAAUGCGUAGAUAUCUGGAGGAAUACCGGUGGCGAAGGCGGCGACCUGGGUAGAUACUGACGCUGAGGUGCGAAAGCGUGGAGAGCAAACAGG